rnacentral:rRNA from 1 species
UAGGGAAUCUUCGGCAAUGGGGGCAACCCUGACCGAGCAACGCCGCGUGAGUGAAGAAGGUUUUCGGAUCGUAAAGCUCUGUUGUAAGAGAAGAACGAGUGUGAGAGUGGAAAGUUCACGCUGUGACGGUAUCUUACCAGAAAGGGACGGCUAACUACGUGCCAGCAGCCGCGGUAAUACGUAGGUCCCGAGCGUUAUCCGGAUUUAUUGGGCGUAAAGCGAGCGCAGGCGGUUAGAUAAGUCUGAAGUUAAAGGCUGUGGCUUAACCAUAGUACGCUUUGGAAACUGUUUAACUUGAGUGCAGAAGGGGAGAGUGGAAUUCCAUGUGUAGCGGUGAAAUGCGUAGAUAUAUGGAGGAACACCGGUGGCGAAAGCGGCUCUCUGGUCUGUAACUGACGCUGAGGCUCGAAAGCGUGGGGAGCAAACAGGAUUAGAUACCCUGGUAGUCCACGCCGUAAACGAUGAGUGCUAGGUGUUAGACCCUUUCCGGGGUUUAGUGCCGUAGCUAACGCAUUAAGCACUCCGCCUGGGGAGUACGACCGCAAGGUUG